AGUUGUCCAAAUCACACAGAACCACGCGAGAUCUCAAAACGAUAAGUUGUUGGCAAUAUGGCGGCACAGAGUAGAAUAUUGAUUAAUUUUUAAGGGAGGCAGGGGUUUUAGGCAGGAUUUGAUACAUGAUGUGUGUGUAGAUAUUAAUGUUAGGGGACAAUGUGAAAGAGGUGUACGUUUUAGUAGGAAAUCUUUUAUCUAAAAUCUCUAUUAUCUGAUCCACACUCCGAAACAGAAGAGGGCGGUAAUGCACUAAUAAGCUGGAUGCCGACCGCCAUUAAACUAGAAAGAAGACGAAUAUGACAGCUUGCUGUCUAUGGUGAGAGACAAAGGUGCAGACGAGAGACACGUGUGUUUAUCUGCUGCUGAGACACUGAUGAAGGAAUGCUAACAUCAAAGAAUUUGUGCAAAUCUUUUGUGGUGGAGCAGGACCUGCAAGGAAAGACUGGUGAUUGCACUGAGGAUGGCGAAGACCACAGCAUCAUCCUGAAAAUGAUCGAGAGUCACAGAUGACUUUCCACCUGCCCUUAACUGUCUCAUCAGUACCAGAUGCCAGGGAACCAGGGAACACAUGUUAGGUAGUCGCGCUCAUGGGGUGCAGGCACACAAAAUUUUCUCUAACUUCAAGGUUGUGUGGUUCAGAGAGCCGUCACCAAGGUCUUCCUCAUCCUGUUGCUCAACGACAUCCGCGUUGAGAAGAGUGAGAUUAUGAAGUGCAGCAGCAGCGCUGUAUCAGCUGUGUUCAGAUGGCAGGAGGAUGUUGGGUUCACCAUCUGUAAAUACUUGAUUGUUAGAACAUUAAGUUUGAAUGAAGCUUUGUUUCAUGUGUUGUUGACUUGUACAUGUAUGCAUUUAUUGUGAUGCUAACUUUUAUACAUUAUUUUAAUCAUUUAGACAUGUUUUUUUGCUGUCAGUAAAUAAAAUAUAAAUAUUUUAUCCAUUCAUGUAUUAAUUGCUUGACUGAAAAUUUAUGUAUUCACAUUGACUGCAUUUAUUUAACUAGUAUAUAUUC